UACAGAUUUUUAAGGCCCUGGAAAUUUGACGUUGCGAAAACAAAGAAAAUGUGGGCUGAUAUCAUAUGCUCGUGGAGGAAGCUAGGGAUCUGGUGCUGACACUAGUAUGGGUUAUAUAUUCUAUAUCUCUUUGCCUUGAACUUCCCAUAUAUUCUAUAAACUCUGUAAGAUGGAUUCUAAUUAACAAGCUUUUCAUGCAAGUAUAACAAACUAUGGAUGCUAGUUUUGAGAGGUCCUAUGAGUGUGUAUUUAUUCCUUUCCAUUUAUAAUGCUGCAAAGAAACACUUUGAUCGUGUACUACCAAUCUGGAUGCCUGUAUAACAAGUGGUUUAGUUACAGUCUAUCUUUUUGCGCUUUUCUUUAUAACAUUUUUUUUUUCCGAGGUACUGAACAUGAUGCUUUUUUGGUCUGAAGGAGAGCUGAGAAUUUGAUGAAUCUUGAUGGUCAUGAUAUAUAUGGCUCAAGACAGGAGAAAUUUGUAUCUCUGAGCAUAUUGAAGGUAGGACAACAGGAGUUUGAACUUGUGAAGCUGCUGCCUUUGAAAAACAUCUUAUGAUUGAUGUAUAAUGCAAUGUGAAGUUCAUACAGACACAAUCACCAUCACAUCAUCUUGAACUUGCUAAUCAGGGGAACGAAGACUCCAGUCUUCUAUCUGAACAUCACAGAAUUUCCGGAUGGAUGGUCAUCCUUUAAUUUACGAAAGCAGAAUUUGACUGAGGAGGACCUUUGAGACUUUGAGAUAAUCUGAUUGCAGUCACUGCAGCAUCUCUGGUUUUCCAGGGGAAUUCGGUGCUGACAUAUCAUGACAGUAUUCUAUUAAACUUUCCAUAUGGCCAGGAAACCAAACAUUGAGAUUUAAAGAAGAUGUGGGCUAAGAUGAGGAGGGAAUUUGGUGUCAUGACAUUAUGGAGAUUCCUAUAAACAUUUAAACGUGCCAUAAAGUGGAAAUCUACAUGUAUCUGAACUUUUUUCUUUUGCAUAUUUUGUCAAGGAGUUUGAAUCGAUGAGGCCUUGGAAUGCUAUCCACAUGGACAUCAUGGAGUUGUAAGGAUUUAGGUCAUCUACAUGGCAGGAUAGACUUGGUAAUACCGUAUUGCUAAUAUUUUCCUUAACAAGAGUUGAGAUGAAGCUAGAUGGUCCAGAUUUUGCUGACCGAUUGACAGGGCAAGAGAAUUAUCUACUUGAUUGACAAGCAUGUACAAAGGUGGGCUGGUGCUUUCGAAGAGGACUUUGCAUUCUUGGUAGUUUUGCUGCAAUGGAUACAUCAUACAUUCAUAUGUCGAUUAAGUCAGUUCUCAGAUGCUACAGAUUUUUAAGGCCCAGGAUAUUUGACAUUGCAAAAACAAAGAAAAUGUGGGCUGAUAUGAUAUGCUCCUGUGGCGGAAGGGAGUGGUGCUGAUUCUAGUAUGGGGUACUAAACCUGGUGCUUUGUUGGGCUGAAGAAGAACUGAGAAUUUGAUGAAGCUUGAUGGUCAUGAUAUAUACGGCUCAAGACAGGUUGGACAACAUGUGUUUGAACUUGUGAAGCUGCUGCCUUUGAACAACAUCUUAUGAUUGAUGUGAAAUGCAAUUGAAGUUCAUACAAACACAAUCAAAUCUCUCUCGCUAAUCGGAUUAUCUACUUAGACAAGCUCAGAUCCCUUGAUCUUGAACUUAGAAAGCUCAGAUGCCUUUGUUCUUGUAUCUGAUGCCUUUAUAUAGGCCUUGCUCUUCAUGGCAGGCUGUAGGUGUGAAGAAAUGAAAAGCAAAGUCAUGCUUUUCCAUUUCUUACGUUCUAUGUUUUCAGGUUAACAUUAAUUGCAUGUUUCCUUCAUCAAUUCAUGACAAAGACUCCAAGUCUCCAACCACCAUCUUGUACUACAAUUGUUUCUCAUCUUCAACAAAAACUGCUCUGUCCUAUAGCUCUACCAUGUAGCUAUAGCCUUCUUCAAUUAAUGGGUCACCAAAGCAAUAGUUUCUCAUGCUUUCUUCAUGUGUAAUUCACCACAUGGUUUCUCACCUCCAAUUAAGGAGGGACUCACCCUAGCUUAAUUUCCAAAAAAAAAAAAAAAAAAAGUUCUCUUAGCUUCCUCUUUCUUUAAAACAGAAACUUCAUGUUUGUAUGUCUAAUUCCAAUCUUCAUUUUUCUUUUGCAGGUAUUUUUUAUCAAUAAGGCAAGCAGUACCUCCAAAAGUAGGUUGGAUCAGGACUUCCUGUGUUGUUGAAGUUGUAUAAAGGUUCAGUGAAAAACAGAAAUUGGGCUCGUGCAAAUGUGUGGGCAGCUGUGAAUUAUGCCCAGCUAACCUCUUCACUGAAAUAAGCAUCAUUUAUUUGCUUCACUUUCUUUUCUUACUGGAUAGUGCAACCAGAUAAAUGGUUUUGAGUCCUACAUGUGACUUGGACUUGAAUGUCGAUGGUUGAAGCUGAAGCUGGAAGGGCUGCAUUGGCGGUGGUUAGAUUUGCCGUUGUUCCAUCCCUUCUUCCUAGUAGGAGAGUCCAUAAGGAGCUUCCAGACUGUAACCAUAAGUUGGCUAUCGACUUACACAAUUUUGCUUCAUUCUGUGUGUGCAUAUUUUGUGGUAUAAGCUACAAACUUGCAAUCACUUUUGAUAAAAAAAAAUUCAAAUCCCUUUGUAUGUAGAGAGUGAUAACAGUUCAAUUUAAAACCAAACAAAAUGCAAGUUCCCCAUCAAAAAUGACGGACACAGUAGUGGAUGUACCAAUAAUGUAGUGGAUGUACUAGUAAAUUAGUAAAUUAGCGCCAGACAUAUUUUCUGAAAGUGAGAUGUAGUGGAUGUCCGAUGUACCAAUAAUGUAGAGUUCACCCAAUGGCUCUGCAAAUAUUGGUCAAUCUCCGACUUUGAGCUUUGGACCCAGGUUUAAUCUUCCUCUCUUGGGCCAGUUCAAGCAAAUUAAAGUUGCUAUAGGAUGGCUUAAAAGCCCGAUCAGACAUCAUAUUUUUGCUAUAGAUUGCAAAUUCCUUUAAAUUACAUCAGUUGCACGCUCCCGAAAUAAAGAAAAGAUUCUCAAAGUGGUUCAAAAGAAGUGGGCGGUUCAAUCUUCCCCUCUAGGGCUAUGUUUGGUACGGCUGGGCUUUUCAGAAAAGCUGGCUUCUGCUUAUUUCUGAGAAUAAGU